GAAGAUUGUCAUCUGGAAAUAGUUGUGCUACAUGAUCAACUGGUUCAACACUUGUUCUUGCAGUGAACUGAUAUGGACCCAUUAACAGUGUAUACUCUCCAUCAUAAAACAAACCAUAUUCUUAACAGAAUGCAAGGACAAUUGCAUAUCUUCUAAUUUUUCUGUUAUGAGAUUUUGGAUGUUCAGAAGAAGUUGGUUCAUACUGUUAAGAGAGUCUAUUUUGGUGGCCAUAUUUAUGUUAGACUCUAUUACCUUAUGAUCAAAAGGUUUAAAGGUGGAAGAUUGAGAUGAGAGACAAUAUUGCUAGUUGGAACCAAUUGAGACUGAUGUUGUGAGACAUUUAUCUCCAGAUAGUUGAAAAUGUGAGUGAGUAACAGACCAAAACCCAGACAGUUAUUGUGAAAGAAGAACUCAAAAGAAGAUAACAGAAAGUAGGCUAAAUUAUAGGGCAUGCAUUCAUUCAAAAUACUUUUGAUAAGUUCCAAGUCAAAAGGAAGUAAUUUUUUUUCUUCUCUAAUAGGCAUAAAAUUGUUCCUAAGAAUUUUUCCCAAAAAAUGACUCUCAGCAGUGAGGAAUUCCAGUUCAAUUUUACAAAUAACAAAGCAGGUACCAUUUGGUCAGUGACAACAGACAGAUUGUGUUUAAAAAGCAUACAUUCUUUAACAAAAAUGCCAAAAGGAUGAAAAUAAGAAUUGACCCUGGGUAACUCUAAUGUGGAAAGAUGAAGUUGAAGGUCAUUGAUAAGGAAAUGUUCAUCAAUGACAUGUGUUUGGCCUUAAAUGCAUGUGGUGAUACUAGUUAGCAGACCAGAUGAGUUUUUAGAAAAUUCCAUAUGAGUGUAAAAUUCAAAUAUGAGACUAGGAUAAAUAGUUUUGUCAUAAAAUGUAACCAAACAAUCCUACCCAAUAUUUUUGAGUUUUUCAAAUAAGUCUGGAAAGUUGUUAAAAGUGAUCACAUUUCCUAGAGACAGAUUAUGUCUCAUGAUUCUAUAUUUAGCUUGAGCAGAUGCAGUAGUGAGAUGGGGAACACCAUGAGAGAAAUGCAAUUUAGAGUGUAAAGGAAGUUUCUUGCGUCUAGAUGAAAAAAGAGUAGACAUGAGGAAUAGAGAAGCAGGUAGUAGAGGUGAUGAGAUGAAACUAAGAAACAACCGAAGACAUGAAUGCACCAUACUGUAAAAUGAACUUAUAUAUAUUAAAGAAAGGUAAUGAUAUGCUUCAGAUAAUUAAUAGACAUGGAGAGACUAACCUAAGAAUAUAUACGACACAUAACCAGUCAAGAUUAGCAGUUGUAAUCAAUUUUAUUUAUUUAUUAAUAAAAG
rnacentral:lncRNA from 1 species